rnacentral:rRNA from 1 species
CCCUUAGAUGUUCUGGGCCGCACGCGUGCUACACUGAACGGUUCAAUGGGUAAGGUAGUGCGAAAGCAUGACCUAAUCUCGAAAUCCGUUCGUGCUGGGGAUAGAAGCUUGCAAUUAUCCUUCUUGAACGAGGAAUACCUUGUAAGCGUGAGUCAUCAUCUCACGCUGAAUACGUCCCUGCCCUUUGUACACACCGCCCGUCGCUCCUACCGAUUGAGUGUUCCGGUGAGGCUUUGGGAGAAUGGCCUCAACAUGAGUUUAUCGUGUUUUGCCGUUUGAACUUAGUCAAACAUUAUCACUUAGAGGAAGGAGAAGUCGUAACA